rnacentral:rRNA from 1 species
UACGAGGGGGUCUAGCGUUGCUCGGAAUUACUGGGCGUAAAGCGCACGUAGGCGGAUCUUUAAGUCAGGGGUGAAAUCCUGGAGCUCAACUCCAGAACUGCCUUUGAUACUGAGGACCUUGAGUUCGGGAGAGGUGAGUGGAACUGCGAGUGUAGAGGUGAAAUUCGUAGAUAUUCGCAAGAACACCAGUGGCGAAGGCGGCUCACUGGCCCGAUACUGACGCUGAGGUGCGAAAGCGUGGGGAGCAAACAGG